AGUGUCCUUGAAACCAGAGCUUUUCGAGGGAUUGAGGUUUGAUUUUACAAAAGGGAUAAAUCAGAAAUUUUCACUCAGCCACAGCGUUUUCAUGGGCUCUAUGGAAAUGGAAGUUCCAUCACAGUCUUCUGACACAAUCAAAGUUCCUACUGCACAUUACGAAUUUGGCGCCAACUUUCUCGAUCCAAAGGUUGGUUGGCUGAUUUGUUUUUUUUUUUUUUUUGAAGUAGCUACUUGGUGUAAAUGUCUCUUUGAUGGAUACUUAUGAGGCAGUUAUAUAGUUGAUACUUGUUGGAAGAGUAAUGACUGAUGGAAGACUAAAUGCACGAGUAAAAUGUGAUCUGAUCGAUAACCUCACUUUGAAGAUAAAUGCUCAGCUCACAAAUGAACCACAUUUCUCACAGGGAAUGUUUAGCUUUGAUUACAAGGGAAAGGAUUUCAGGACUCAGUUUCAAAUAGGGAAUAAUGCCUUCUAUGGUGCCAAUUGUAUCCAGGU